ACGGAAGGCAGCAGUGGGGAAUAUUGCACAAUGGGCGAAAGCCUGAUGCAGCGACGCCGCGUGAGUGAAGAAGUAUCUCGGUAUGUAAAGCUCUAUCAGCAGGGAAGGAAAUGACGGUACCUGACUAAGAAGCCCCGGCUAACUACGUGCCAGCAGCCGCGGUAAUACGUAGGGGGCAAGCGUUAUCCGGAUUUACUGGGUGUAAAGGGAGCGUAGACGGUUUGGCAAGUCUGAAGUGAAAUGCGGGGGCUCAACUCCUGAACUGCUUUGGAAACUGUCGAACUAGAGUGCAGGAGAGGUAAGUGGAAUUCCUAGUGUAGCGGUGAAAUGCGUAGAUAUUAGGAGGAACACCAGUGGCGAAGGCGGCUUACUGGACUGUAACUGACGUUGAGGCUCGAAAGCGUGGGGAGCAAACAGGAUUAGAUACCCUGGUA
rnacentral:rRNA from 1 species